UUAGCCCCAGGCCCGGCCCCCUGAGGCCCCGGGCCGAAGGGAUAGGAGAGGGGGUGGGUGACCCCUCUUUGCAGGCUCACGUCCCUGCGCUGCGACGUCAUUCGAGCCGGUUCUGCGCACGAGGUCAGCACUGUGGUCCUGGCAUACAGAGGUCUGUCCAGAACAGCUGACCCUGGGCCGUUAGCAGGGAUGCGGGGCCUGCCCCAGAAAGGGACCCGGAAAAGCUACUCUUUAAAGCCUGUGGAAGGUUAGGCUAGACCACGAGUUGGAUAGAACUCACUGUGCAACCGGGGUCCACUGUGCAAUCGGGGUCCCCAAAUAUGGUCAAUCGGGCAGUUCCUGUCUAUGUCAGUGCACCCAAUGAGUUUUCAAAACGUGAAAUGUCCUUGGUUUUAGAUAUCAAACUUUAUUUGUUUGGUGAAGUGGUGGUGGUAAUAGACGAUUGUUGUGUUUUAUGAGUAUACAUGAUAACCACCCCCUCCCAUCCAUUCUUCCCUUCAAGAGGCUCUCUAAAGCGCCUGGAAUAGGACCACGUGCAAAUGCUGGUUAGUCCCUGCUGUCAUAAGGCUUACAGUCUCAUGAGACGGGAUAGGACUGUUAAUGAAAUGAAUGUGUUAUUAAGUGUACAGUUGCAACAGUCUUGAGGGAAUGCAUGGCAAAGGAACUGGAUCUAGACAGAAUAAAUGUCAAGAGGCCUGCAACCCAAACUGCAGGUGGGAUGUGGAGAGUGGCCAAGCUAUUCUCUAAUGCUUCUGCUUCAGUUACCCAUUUUGUGGGGCCAGUUGAUCUCCAGAGCCUUGAACUGACACUAACCUCACUCUUGAGUGCAUGCCCUACAUAACAGCCUGUGGAGUCACAAGAAAAUCAGUUACAGGACAACCAGAGAGACCUUUAGCAAGGAGAACACCAUCAACAGACCAGACUCCUGUUCAUUUAUGGAACACUCCACCCACCUAGAGCAGAAUACAUAUCCUGUUAAAGUCAACAUGGAACAUAUUCCAAGAUAGAGUAUUUCGUGGGCCAUACAACAAGCCUCAACAAAUGUCAAAGAAUUGAAGUCAUACAGGACAUGUGCUCUGACAAUAAUGGAAUCAAACUAAAAAUUACUAACAACAGGCAACAGGGAUUUUUUCAAUUGUGGAAAUGAAAAAGCUGAUCUCAGAAAUAAAAAGGAACAAACUACUGAUUCAGCAGUAGGUUAUACUGAGUGAGGAAAUGCAAUCAUAGAAAGGAUACCUAUAGCAAGAUUCCAUUUAUACAACAUUCAUGAAAUAACAUAGAGAUGGGGAAGAGAUUAGUGAUGUCCCGGGGCUUGGGAUGGGGCUGGGUGUAUGUGGAUGGGCUCUCCUUUCUCCAGAACAUUGCCAAAUUGAAUAGAAAUAAACUGGAUUACAGAAGCAGGGGCAGUAGAACAG